AAAUUGUGUCAGUUUGAAUUAGCAAAACAGUUUAUUAAAAUCAACUAUCACGUUUUGUAGGCGUCACUACAACAAUUUAUCAUUUCAAUAAUCACCGUUUUUCGGUUCGACUAACAUUUUGCCAUUUUGACAAACACGUUUGUUGUUUGAACCUCAACUCAAUUUAACGUGUUAGGAAAAUAAACAGUGUAUGUUUUCAAUCCAACUUCAACAACAAUAUGGCCGAAGUGAGAAUGUGGAAUUCUGGAGAUGUUCAUGAAAUAGUUCUAGUUCCUGUCAUACAACAUGGCUGGUGGAAACUAUAUCCGGGUAUAAUGAGGUAGCUUGCACCAUGUCUCCAGCAGCUGAUUUUUCUUGUCGGCGUCCAGUGAAAACGAUUGUAAAAUAAACGUGGCCGGAACUCUUAAUAA